rnacentral:rRNA from 1 species
GACGAACGCUGGCGGCGUGCUUAACACAUGCAAGUCGAACGGUGAAGCGAGUGCUUGCACUCGUGGAUCAGUGGCGAACGGGUGAGUAACACGUGAGUAACCUGCCCAUCACUCUGGGAUAAGCACUGGAAACGGUGUCUAAUACUGGAUACGACCAACCCUUGCAUGGGGUGUUGGUGGAAAGAUUUAUCGGUGAUGGAUGGACUCGCGGCCUAUCAGCUUGUUGGCGGGGUAAUGGCCCACCAAGGCGACGACGGGUAGCCGGCCUGAGAGGGUGACCGGCCACACUGGGACUGAGACUCGGCCCAGACUCCUACGGGAGGCAGCAGUGGGGAAUAUUGCACAAUGGGCGAAAGCCUGAUGCAGCGACGCCGCGUGAGGGAUGACGGCCUUCGGGUUGUAAACCUCUUUCAGCAGGGAAGAAGCGAAAGUGACGGUACCUGCAGAAGAAGCACCGGCUAACUACGUG